rnacentral:rRNA from 1 species
CAGCAGCCACGGUAAUACGAAUGGUGCAAGCGUUACUCGGAAUUACUGGGCGUAAAGCGUGCGUAGGUGGUGGUUUAAGUCUGCUGUGAAAGCCCUGGGCUCAACCUGGGAAUUGCAGUGGAUACUGGAUCACUAGAGUGUGGUAGAGGGAUGCGGAAUUUCUGGUGUAGCAGUGAAAUGCGUAGAGAUCAGAAGGAACAUCCGUGGCGAAGGCGGCAUCCUGGGCCAACACUGACACUGAGGCACGAAAGCGUGGGGAGCAAACAGGAUUAGAUACCCCUGUAGUCCCUGUCUCUUAUAC